rnacentral:lncRNA from 1 species
CAUUUCCUCAGUCUGCCCCAGAGAGGAAAGAGCCUCGCUCCAUCCCACCUCCACCCCAUUAGUCCCACCCGAAGCUCCUGUUCUCAGGAUGAGGAACCCCAGAGUCUUCACAGGUUGCCCAGCGGAUCCAGGCAGGGCUCCGCGAAGAGAAGAGAUGGGAGAGAGAGAGGCCUGCCUCCCAGCUUGUGCCACCGCCCCAGGACCCCUGGCACCCAGCUGCCGCCCCCGCGCCGCCAGGGAGUCGUGACCACCGCGCCCAGCGAGUGUGAGAUGUGGGAUAAUGGUGCUGGCUGCCGCUCCGCCCUGAAGGCCCCCCGCGGUUUAGCAAAUGAGCCUGGAAGGAGGCUCAGACUGAGAGUAAAGCAGCCCCGGGAACCUGUGCUCCCCGCAUCCACAAUCACUUGGGGGGGGGCAACCGUUUGGUCCCAACUGCUCUUUAUGUACUGGCAACACAUCCACAAGAACGUCUCAUUCACUUAUUGGCAUUCCAAUUGCUGUUGUCUGCUGAUUGAAUUAAAAGAUUCAAGAAAAUAUUAACUACCUCACCAUCCCCCCCAUCACCAAAUCUAAUGACCCUGCAAAUGUUAACUAUGCCAGAAUUCGCUUUUCCUGGCAGUUUUCAGUCACAUUUCAUACAGAGGCUAUUUCAACAACGUAUGAUGACUCCCUUUUAAGGUAUUUUCCCACUGCUUCCGCUGCCCCCUCCUCCUCCAAGCUUGGCGCACAAGUGAAAUUCAGGUUAGAAAUUCUCAGUAGAAACCAAGGGAUAACAUGUACCUUAUCAAAGAAUCUCCCAAGAAACAUUAAAAUGCCUGAUGGAAGCAGGGACAGCAACUACUUUGACAGACCCUAAAUAGUACUAGCUGUCACACCCUACAAAUCAAUAAAUGCCAGUCUAAAAGAGAAAGUAACUGCUGCUAAUUCUUUUAAAUGCCAAUUCAGGGGCAAUAUUUUAUGACUAAUAUUGACAUAAAUAAAUAAUAUUGAGAGAUUGAAUUAAUAUUGGUAUGCCUUCCUUAGCAAUCCAACUUAAUCAUUUUUCAUCUGAACUUUAAAUAAAAUGGUAGUAUUUAAUUUCAUAGGCAUUAUGGUAAAAUCUAAGUAUUGAAUUGGCCAAUCUUUUCCUGACACUAAAUGAAACGCUGAUAGACAGAACUAUCAUUUUCAUUGACUUGCAAU